AAAGAUAAUAAUACUUACUGCUGGUGAUCUAGUGAAAACGAAUCGCUGUAAAUUGACAGAAAACAUACGGCGAAUACAAAAUGAAUUUUUGAAGACAAAUGGCAACUGCAGUUUGUCAUUUGUCCCGGGACAAAGUUACAAUUGGACUGGGUGUACAGAGUAGAAGACACAUGACGCAACUAUGACCACAUUUCUCAAAACAAUAUAACUGAAAGUAUUAAUCUAAGAAGAAAAAUGAGUUAUAGCAACGAAGAAUAUUGAACGAACCGUCGCAAGGAAAGAAACUGUUUAUCAAAGUUUGCAAAUACAAACUGUACUGAGCAUUUUUGUAUCAACUAUUCUCGUAUUCACAUAGAUCGUUUCAGUUUAUUGUAACGUAGCAUGACGGAGGAGUCGACUUGAUUUUAAAAUCUGCUGAAGGCCUAUUCAAUAUUUACGUUGCUAUCUUCUGGCCCAACUGUCUAAUGUUAUGGAAUCCUGGCAUCUAAUAAACUCCCUUAUAUGCGCAGCGGACACAUUUCGUUUUGAAUUUAUAAUGAUUCACCCCUUGCACUCGUAAAAAUUGUGAAUACUUACUUAAAUGCCAAGUUCUACCAAAACGUCAGAUUUCUGUUGGCUGUUUAUGCCGAUUAACUUGAAUAAAUAUUAAUUUCGUUCUACAAUUUCUGAAAUAUAUCCACCCAAAAUUCACCCUGAACCUGAAAUUUAGACGGCCUCAUUCUCGUGAUAGAAAAAAAAAUUACGAAUGUAUUUUGAUUUCGUUUUACAAUUUCUGAAAUAUAUACCUUCGUCACCGCUUCAGUCUGGCGAUAGAAACUAAGAGUAUUAUACAUAUGUACAUGUAUAUAUUAUAAUUUUAUGCUAAUUGAAAGAUCUCAUCUUGGCUGCAAGUUUUCCAGCCGAAUUUUAAACCUAAUUCUAGGAAUAUAUUGUGAGGGUAACUGCCAUUCAUUAUUUAUUCACGUUGUAAUAUGUUCAUGUUGGUGCGUGUUUACUGUUGUAUUUAUCUUGAUAUCUUGAAUUUUGGUGGUUAAUGAAGUGUUUCAGGAUGAACUUGAACUUGUUUGUGAUAUUUUUAACUUGUGCUUCGUUGAAACAAUAAAAUAUU